GCUCCUGUCGUCUAGUGGACUAGGACGCGGCCCUUUCAAGGCUGAGAUCGCGGGUUCGAAUCCCGCCAGGAGCA
rnacentral:tRNA from 1 species